rnacentral:rRNA from 1 species
CCGGGGGAAACCCCGAUUAAUACCGCAUAUGGCCUAUGGGUCAAAGCCUUCGGGCGCCAAGAGAGGAGCCUGCGGCCCAUUAUUUAAUCCUAGUUGGUGGGGUAAUGGCCUACCAAGGGUACGAUGGGUAGCUGGUCUGAGAGGACGAUCAGCCACACUGGAACUGAGACACGGUCCAGACUCCUACGGGAGGCAGCAGUGGGGAAUAUUGCGCAAUGGGCGGAAGCCUGACGCAGCCAACCCGCGUGUGUGAUGAAGGCCUUCGGGUUGUAAAGCACUGUCGUGAGGGAAGAAGAUCUGACGGUACCUCACAAGAAAGCACCGGCUAACUCCGUG